rnacentral:lncRNA from 1 species
AAAGAAAUCACAUGCUCCAAGACGUCACACAGCUAUUUCCAUUAAAUCACCAACUCUAACUUAAAUGCAAAUAAAAAUGCUUAAACAUUCAAUCACUGUACUGCAUCGUACACUAUGGAAAGUAAUUUUUCUCUAAAGCAAAUACCGUAACAUGUUUAACCAGUAGCAUCCCUUCAUGAGAAACAAAAGAAAAUGCUUCCAAUUGAA